rnacentral:rRNA from 1 species
AACGAACGCUGGCGGCAUGCCUAACACAUGCAAGUCGAACGAGACCUUCGGGUCUAGUGGCGCACGGGUGCGUAACGCGUGGGAACCUGCCCUUAGGUUCGGAAUAACUCCCCGAAAGGGGUGCUAAUACCGGAUAAUGUCUUCGGACCAAAGAUUUAUCGCCUUUGGAUGGGCCCGCGUUGGAUUAGCUAGUUGGUAGGGUAAAAGCCUACCAAGCGACGAUCCAUAGCUGGUCUGAGAGGAUGAUCAGCCACACUGGGACUGAGACACGGCCCAGACUCCUACGGGAGGCAGCAGUGGGGAAUAUUGGACAAUGGGCGAAAGCCUGAUCCAGCAAUGCCGCGUGAGUGAUGAAGGCCUUAGGGUUGUAAAGCUCUUUUACCCGGGAUGAUAAUGACAGUACCGGGAGAAUAAGCGCCGGCUAACUCCGUG